rnacentral:rRNA from 1 species
UACGAAGGGGGCUAGCGUUGUUCGGAAUCACUGGGCGUAAAGCGCACGUAGGCGGAUUGUUAAGUCGGGGGUGAAAUCCUGAGGCUCAACCUCAGAACUGCCUUCGAUACUGGCAAUCUCGAGUCCGGAAGAGGUUGGUGGAACAGCUAGUGUAGAGGUGAAAUUCGUAGAUAUUAGCUAGAACACCAGUGGCGAAGGCGGCCAACUGGUCCGGUACUGACGCUGAGGUGCGAAAGCUAGGGGAGCGAACGGG